rnacentral:rRNA from 1 species
UACAGAGACUGCAAGCGUUAUUCGGAUUCACUGGGCGUAAAGGGCGCGCAGGUGGCCAAGUGUGUUAGGCGUGAAAGCCCGGGGCUUAACCCCGGAAUUGCACCUAAAACUACUUGGCUAGAGCAUUGGAGAGGGGAGCAGAAUUCAUGGUGUAGCAGUGAAAUGCGUAGAUAUCAUGAGGAAUACCAGAGGCGAAGGCGGCUCCCUGGACAAUUGCUGACACUCAGGCACGAAAGCGUGGGGAGCAAAAGGG